AGGACUGUGCUCCUGGGAGAGCAGACGGCUUCCAACCCCGUCGGACAGGGUUCGACUCCUUGCGGUCCUG
rnacentral:tRNA from 1 species